AUUCCCCCCCUCUUCCUCCCUUUCUCACACUUAUCUAAUUUUGUCCUUCUGUGUAUCUUCUCUCCCACGAUUAUUGUUUCCAGGCCAUGAAACAAAAAUAUUCAUCGAGGUCUGGUGAUCUUGUUUAGUUCAAGAUUGCGCCGAUUUUACACCUUCCUUAGAUUUCUAUGUUAUUGGAUGCGAUUUGUACUUUGAAUCGAGCCAACAAAAGAAUAUCGGUACUUUUUUUUUUAUAGACUUCUAUUCGUAUUCUCGAUUUCGUUUCUUGUUUCUGGGUUUUUAAACGUUCGGUCUUUCAGGUACGAUAUUCUUCAUUAAUGCCAUUCUUUGAAUAAUUUUAAUGCUUCUAUUUCAAUUGGACGAACUACUUUAUGAAAAAUCAGCGCCAAAUUUAAAAUCUUAAUUAUUACAUAUAGGUUUAUAUGAGAUAUUAGUUUAAUUAAUGAGCUUGUUAAAGUCGUUUUCUUUCUUUAGAUGGUGAUGUUAUAAGUGUGUUGGGAUGCUAUGGUGCUGCUUGUGAUUGUGUAGAAAUGGAAGUGUGAUUUACAGUUGUAUGAAUGUAAAAUGAAUGAAUAUGUAAGAAGAAUGGAGAAAAUGGAAUGGAUAACUUCACGCAGGGUCUUGUUCGAGGCAGACGCUUCCUCCAGAAAAUUAGUUCUCACAAAGAUUUGCGAUAGUACUGCCCUUGCUCCCCGUUCCCCUUUUACACCCACUAACUUGGAAUAUUCUUACACGUGUAAAACAAUUACUGGAAGGAGCAUAACAGAAUUCAGAGUAUUCUAGAACUAAAAUGCAAUACAAAAUGACAACGUAAAAGACU